rnacentral:lncRNA from 1 species
AAUCACGUAGUUGUAACUGCAUUGAUCUCUAUCACUAGAUCAGCAGUAACAGUUAUUGAUUUCUAUUCUUAGAUUAGCUAUAUUUUAUCUCCUGUAUCACUCUCAUCUUAUCUUACGUUGUAUAGUCCUACAUAUACUGCACUUCUCCAAUCCUAUAAAUAUAGGAUGCAUUGUUAAUAAAGAAUUUGUCUUUUCUGUA